UUCGGCUGACAUUCGAGUGGCGGACGGGUGAGUAACGCGUGAGCAAUCUGUCCCACAGAGGGGGAUAACAACUGGAAACAGUUGCUAAUACCGCAUAAGACCACACUGUCGCAUGACAGAGAGGUCAAAGGAGCAAUCCGCUGUGGGGUGAGCUCGCGUCCGAUUAGUUAGUUGGUGAGGUAACGGCCCACCAAGACAGCGAUCGGUAGCCGACCUGAGAGGGUGAUCGGCCACAUUGGGACUGAGACACGGCCCAGACUCC
rnacentral:rRNA from 1 species